rnacentral:lncRNA from 1 species
CUUAGCAUACUCCUCGAAAGGGUUUUCAUAUGUCCAAAAAUGCAUAAACAAUGUUGAAAAAUAAAGUUUUAACAAAUUGCACUGUCGUAGUUGAAUACAACAAAGAAAAUGCAAAUUUUCAGUUCUAAAAUAGCUCUGAAUGAAUCAACACUUCGAAUAUUCAUUAAAUCAAUUAUGAACACAUAAUUACAUCAGAACUUAAUCAACUCAACUUCACACCUCAAAGCAAUUACGACAAAUCACAACAACAACCGAAUAUGUAUAUACAAUCAUCAUAAUAUAACAAACAUAACUCGCAUGCCAAACACUCUAAUGCAAUGUGUAUAUGCCAAAAUGCAUGAUUUCAAAAUUCCAAACCAAAAUCAUCCUCGAAUGGCGUAAAUCAUAAUUGUACAGCCUCUCACAGACCAGUACUAAUUACCAAGGUGCAAUCUCUCACGGAUCAGCACGAUUUACUAGCGUGCAGUCUCUCACAGACCAGCACGACAUACAAGAGUGCAGUCGCUCACAGACCAGCACAAUUUACUAGCGUGCAGUCUCUCACAGACCAGCACGACAUACAAGAGUGCAGUCGCU